rnacentral:rRNA from 1 species
GUAGGACGCGAGCGUUAUCCGGAAUUACUGGGCGUAAAGGGCCAGCAGGCGGCUUGUAACUUGUGCGUGAAAGCCUCGUGCUCAACGCGAGGAAGCCGGACCAUACUGUCAAGCUAGAGGGCAUCAGAGGGGACUGGAAUUCCCGGAGUAGCGGUAAAAUGCGCAGAUAUCGGGAGGAACACCGAUGGCGAAGGCAGCUCCCUGGGAUGCACCUGACGCUAAGAGGCGAAAGCUAGGGGAGCGUACAGGAUUAGAGACCCUGGUAGUCCUAGCUGUAAACGCUGGGUGCUAGCUGUGGGACGUAGAAGUUCCGUGCCGGAGCAUACGCGAUAAGCACCCCGCCUGGGAAUUACGGUCGCAAGGCUACAAGUCAAACGAAUUGACGGGGCCCCGCACAAGCACCGGAGCGUGUGGUUCAAUUAGAUGCUACACGAAGAACCUUACCUGGGUCUGACAUGUACGUGGAACGAAGGCGAAAGCCUAAGGACCGUUCGGGGAGCGUACACAGGUGCUGCAUGACUGUUGUCAGCUCGUGCCGUGAGGUGUCGGGUUAAGUCCCGUCACGAGCGCAACCCUUGCCCUUAGUUACAAGUGUCUAAGGGGACAUGACCGGCGGGAAGCCGGAGGAAGGUGAGGAUGACGUCAAGUCAGCAUGGCCCUUACGUCCACGGGCUACACACACGCUACAAUGGUCAGUACAAAGGGUAGCGAAGUCGCGAGGCGGAGCGAAUCUCAACGCAGCUGAUUGUAGUUCGGAUUGCAGCCUGCAACCCGCCUGCAUGAAGCUGGAGUUGCUAGUAACCGCGCGUCAGCCAUAGUCCGCUGAAUACGUACCCGGGGCUUGUACACACCGCCCGUCACGUCAUGGGAGUCGGUUACGCCUGAAGCCGGUAGUCU